rnacentral:rRNA from 1 species
UACGUAGGGAGCGAGCGUUGUCCGGAAUUACUGGGCGUAAAGGGCGCGUAGGCGGCGAUGCAAGUCGCAUGUGAAAUCCCCAGGCUUAACUUGGGGGGUGCAUGCGAAACUGCAUGGCUUGAGUAUGGCAGAGGAAAGUGGAAUUCCUAGUGUAGCGGUGAAAUGCGUAGAUAUUAGGAGGAACACCAGUGGCGAAGGCGACUUUCUGGGCCACAACUGACGCUGAGGCGCGAAAGCGUGGGGAGCAAACAGG